GAGCUUGCUCCAUGAUUCAGCGGCGGACGGGUGAGUAAUGCCUAGGAAUCUGCCUGGUAGUGGGGGACAACGUUUCGAAAGGAACGCUAAUACCGCAUACGUCCUACGGGAGAAAGCAGGGGACCUUCGGGCCUUGCGCUAUCAGAUGAGCCUAGGUCGGAUUAGCUAGUAGGUGAGGUAAUGGCUCACCUAGGCGACGAUCCGUAACUGGUCUGAGAGGAUGAUCAGUCACACUGGAACUGAGACACGGUCCAGACUCCUACGGGAGGCAGCAGUGGGGAAUAUUGGACAAUGGGCGAAAGCCUGAUCCAGCCAUGCCGCGUGUGUGAAGAAGGUCUUCGGAUUGUAAAGCACUUUAAGUUGGGAGGAAGGGCAGUAAGUUAAUACCUUGCUGUUUUGACGUUACCAACAGAAUAAGCACCGGCUAACUUCGUGCCAGCAGCCGCGGUAAUACGAAGGGUGCAAGCGUUAAUCGGAAUUACUGGGCGUAAAGCGCGCGUAGGUGGUUCAGCAAGUUGGAGGUGAAAUCCCCGGGCUCAACCUGGGAACUGCCUCCAAAACUACUGAGCUAGAGUACGGUAGAGGGUAGUGGAAUUUCCUGUGUAGCGGUGAAAUGCGUAGAUAUAGGAAGGAAC
rnacentral:rRNA from 1 species